AUGUACAUUCCUAUAGUGUUAAUACAUCGGAUCCCAUUAGAAAUCCAUAGUUAAGUGUUAUUUGGAUAGAGUAGUACUAGGAUGGGUGAUCACCCGAGAAGUAUUAGUGUUUUACAUG
rfam:Picea glauca, whole genome shotgun sequence.